rnacentral:misc_RNA from 1 species
ACAAACUUGGUCAUUUAGAGGAAGUAAAAGUCGUAACAAGGUUUCCGUAGGUGAACCUGCGGAAGGAUCAUUAACACGAAUUUAUUAUCCAAUAUCAAAACCAAACGUGAACUUAUCUUCUCCCUACAUUUAUUAAUGUAGGCUAACCUUCAUAUCUAUAUAUAUAUAUAUAGAAAUGAACACUUAAAUUUUUAACCCCUUUAACUUUAACUAGUUUUCAACAUUCAUUUCUAUGAUACUUGAAGACAACUAACUAAAAGAAAAACUACAAGGUUAUUCGGAAAGAGCAACUCUUGUAAUUUUCGUUUCGAUCUACGAAAAAAUACAAUGAACAACUCUUAACAAUGGAUAUCUUGGUUCUCGCAUCGAUGAAGAACGCAGC